AAUCCAACUCCCAUCCAAGCUUCACCUCGGCGGACCAGACACCGUGCCUCUCGGGGCGGGAAGGCGGCAGAGGGCCUGGACGAGGGAGGAGGUGAAGGUUGGGGCCGGUCUGCAAUCUUCUUCUUGUGCCGCCUGUCUACACUUGGGGGCUCCCGGGCCUGGUUUUCUCAGCCAGUCCUGCUUUCGGUUGGGGGCUCGGAGCCGGCCGGGAGAGUAUCUGGGGAAAGGACCACACUUCAGGUUUAUUUAUGAAAAAAAAUACUGCGGUAUUAUUGCAGAGGAAGAAACAUGUUCAUCAAAGCAUAUGGAUCUCGACAUACUAACCAUCAUCAACUGUAAUCAAGUAGCUGGUCUGGCUUCUUUUGCUUAGCAGAGUGUUUCUGACGUCCACCUGGCUUGUAGCACGGGUCAGUGCCUGAUCGUCUUCUCCAUCA